rnacentral:sRNA from 2 species
AAAAAGCCCGCGACGCGUCGGCAUCAGCGGGCUUCAGUGCGGUACCACAGCCUGGACUCCAGCCGGCGGUGCCGGCCUUCGCUUUAGCUGUUUCGGGGCGAUUGCCCCACGUCCGCAAGCUGAAUCAAAUCGACGCAAGGCGCAUCGUAACACGCGAGCGCGAAACGAUGCGCGC